UACGGGGGGGGCAAGCGUUGUUCGGAAUUACUGGGCGUAAAGGGCUCGUAGGCGGCCAACUAAGUCAUACGUGAAAUCCCUCAGCUUAACUGGGGAACUGCGUGUGAUACUGGAUGGCUUGGAUUUGGGAGAGGGAUGCGGAAUUCCAGGUGUAGCGGUGAAAUGCGUAGAUAUCGAGAGGAACACCGGUGGCGAAGGCGGCCUUCUGGACAGUGACUGACGCUGAGACGCGAAAGCGUGGGGAGCAAACAGG
rnacentral:rRNA from 1 species